rnacentral:rRNA from 1 species
GACGAACGCUGGCGGCGUGCCUAAUACAUGCAAGUAGAACGCACAGUUUAUACCGUAGCUUGCUACACCAUAGACUGUGAGUUGCGAACGGGUGAGUAACGCGUAGGUAACCUGCCUGGUAGCGGGGGAUAACUAUUGGAAACGAUAGCUAAUACCGCAUAAUAUUAAUUAUUGCAUGAUAAUUGAUUGAAAGGUGCAAAUGCAUCACUACCAGAUGGACCUGCGUUGUAUUAGCUAGUAGGUGAGGUAACGGCUCACCUAGGCGACGAUACAUAGCCGACCUGAGAGGGUGAUCGGCCACACUGGGACUGAGACACGGCCCAGACUCCUACGGGAGGCAGCUUUAUGUUAUCUUCGGCAAUGGACGAAAGUCUGACCGAGCAACGCCGCGUGAGUGAAGAGGGUUUUCUGAUCGUAAAGCCCUGUUGUAAAAAAAUAUU